rnacentral:rRNA from 1 species
GAUGAACGCUGGCGGCGUGCCUAAUACAUGCAAGUCGAGCGAAAAGACGAGGAGCUUGCUCCUCUGACGUUAGCGGCGGACGGGUGAGUAACACGUGGAUAACCUACCUAUAAGACUGGGAUAACUUCGGGAAACCGGAGCUAAUACCGGAUAAUAUAUUGAACCGCAUGGUUCAAUAGUGAAAGACGGUUUUGCGGUCACUUAUAGAUGGAUAUGCGCCGCAUUAGCUAGUUGGUAAGGUAACGGCUUAUCAAGGCAACGAUGCGUAGCCGAGCUGAGAGGCUGGUCGGCCACAUGAGAGCGUGAACGCGGACCAGCGGCCUACGGGAGGGACCAGUAGGGAACCGUCGGCAGUAGGCGAAAGCCUGGCAGAACAGCCCGGCGUGAGUUAUAAAGGUCUUGGGUGCGGAAAGCUCGGUUAUGGGGGAUAAACAGAUUUGGAAGUAGCUGUACACUUCUUGACGGUACCUAAUCAAAAAGCCACGGCUAACUACGUG